CCUACGGGAGGCAGCAGUGGGGAAUAUUGGACAAUGGGGGGAACCCUGAUCCAGCCAUGCCGCGUGUGUGAAGAAGGCCCUCGGGUUGUAAAGCACUUUCAGUGAGGAAGAACGCCUGGUGGUUAAUACCCAUCAGGAAAGACAUCACUCACAGAAGAAGCACCGGCUAACUCCGUGCCAGCAGCCGCGGUAAUACGGAGGGUGCGAGCGUUAAUCGGAAUUACUGGGCGUAAAGCGCGCGUAGGUGGCUUGAUAAGCCGGUUGUGAAAGCCCCGGGCUCAACCUGGGAACGGCAUCCGGAACUGUCAAGCUAGAGUGCAGGAGAGGAAGGUAGAAUUCCCGGUGUAGCGGUGAAAUGCGUAGAGAUCGGGAGGAAUACCAGUGGCGAAGGCGGCCUUCUGGACUGACACUGACACUGAGGUGCGAAAGCGUGGGUAGCAAACAGGAUUAGUUACCCUAGUAGUC
rnacentral:rRNA from 1 species